GGGCUGGUAGCUCAGUGGUAGAGCACUGCUUUCGCAUAGCAGGGGUCAGGAGUUCGAAUCUCCUCCAGUCCACAA
rnacentral:tRNA from 1 species